AUACGUAGGGGGCAAGCGUUAUCCGGAUUUAUUGGGUUUAAAGGGUGCGCAGGCGGGAGAUUAAGUCGGCGGGGAAAUUUUGCAGCUCAACUGUAAAAGUGCCUUCGAAACUGGUUUCCUUGAGUGUAGAUGAAGUAGGCGGAAUUUGUGGUGUAGCGGUGAAAUGCAUAGAUAUCACGAGGAACUCCGAUUGCGCAGGCAGCUUACUAAACUACUACUGACGCUCAGGCACGAAGGCGUGGGGAUCAAACAGGAUUAGAUACCCUGGUAGUCCACGCAGUAAACGAUGAUUACUAGCUGUUUGCGAUACAAUGUAAGCGGCUGAGCGAAAGCGUUAAGUAAUCCACCUGGGGAGUACGUACGCAAGUAUGAAACUCAAAUGAAUUGACGGGG
rnacentral:rRNA from 1 species